UGCCUGCCCAGUGACAUCGUUAAACGGCCGCGGUAUCCUGACCGUGCAAAGGUAGCAUAAUCAUUUGUUCUCUAAAUAAGGACUUGUAUGAAUGGCCACACGAGGGUUCUACUGUCUCUUACUUCCAAUCAGUGAAAUUGACCUUUCCGUGAAGAGGCGGAAAUAAGCCAAUAAGACGAGAAGACCCUAUGGAGCUUUAACUAACUAGCCUAAAGAAAAUAAAUACAACCACCAAGGGAUAAUAACACUCUCAAUAAGCUAGCAGUUUCGGUUGGGGUGACCUCGGAGAACAGAAAAUCCUCCGAACGAUUUUAAAGAUUAGACCAACAAGUCAAAUCACAAUAUCGCUCAUUGAUCCAAAGAAAUUUGAUCAACGGAACAAGUUACCCUAGGGAUAACAGCGCAAUCCUAUUCAAGAGUCCAUAUCGACAAUAGGGUUUACGACCUCGAUGUUGGAUCAGGACAUCCAGAUGGUGCAACCGCUAUCAAAGGUUCGUUUGUUCAACGAUUAAAGUCCUACGUGAUCUGAGUUCAAAACCCGGAGAA
rnacentral:rRNA from 1 species